rnacentral:rRNA from 1 species
GACGAACGCUGGCGGCGUGCCUAAUACAUGCAAGUUGAGCGCUGAAGGUUGGUCCUUGUACCAACUGGAUGAGCAGCGAACGGGUGAGUAACGCGUGGGGAGUCUGCCUUUGAGCGGGGGACAACAUUUGGAAACGAAUGCUAAUACCGCAUAAAAACUUUAAACACAAGUUUUAAGUUUGAAAGAUGCAAUUGCAUCACUCAAAGAUGAUCCCGCGUUGUAUUAGCUAGUUGGUGAGGUAAAGGCUCACCAAGGCGAUGAUACAUAGCCGACCUGAGAGGGUGAUCGGCCACAUUGGGACUGAGACACGGCCCAAACUCCUACGGGAGGCAGCAGUAGGGAAUCUUCGGCAAUGGACGAAAGUCUGACCGAGCAACGCCGCGUGAGUGAAGAAGGUUUUCGGAUCGUAAAACUCUGUUGGUAGAGAAGAACGUUGGUGAGAGUGGAAAGCUCAUCAAGUGACGGUAACUACCCAGAAAGGGACGGCUAACUACGUG